rnacentral:lncRNA from 1 species
GGUGGGCUAUAGCCUUGGGGGGUGGGGCUGGCCAACUUCGUCCGCCGGACUCGCAAUGCCGCGAGACUUUGCGAGGGGCCUCCGUGUGCCAAAAAUAGCCCGCGGGCAAAGCCGCGCCCAAAAAUAACCGCCCGAAGGCCGGGGCGCCAAGUUCGUCCAGCGGAAAAAGGCCACAAAAACGGGUGGGCUAUAGCCUUGGUGGGUGGGGCUGGCCAACUUUGUCCGCCGGACUCAGAAUGCCGCGAGACUUUGCGAGGGGCCUCCGUGUGCCAAAAAUGGGCCGCGGGCAAAGCCGGCCCCAAAAUUAACUGCCCGAAGGCCGGGACGCCAAGUUCGUCCAGCGGAAAAAGGCCACAAAAACGGGUGGGCUAUUGCCUUGGGGGGUGGGGCUGGCCAACUUCGUCCGCCGGACUCGCAAUGCCGCGAGACUUUGCGAGGGGCCUCCGUAUGCCAAAAAUAAGCCGCGGGCAAAGCCGCUUCCAAAAUUAACCGCCCGAAGGCCGGGGCGCCAAGUUCGUCCAGCGGAAAAAGGCCACAAAAACGGGUGGGCUAUAGCCUUGGGGGGUGAUGCUGGCCAACUUCGGCCGCCGGACUCGGAAUGCCGCGAGAUGUUGUGAGGGGCCUCCGUAUGCCAAAAAUAGGCCGUGGGCAAAGCCGCUCCCAAAAUUAACCGCCCGAAGGCCGGGGCGCCAAGUUCGUCCAGCGGAAAAAGGCCACAAAAACGGGUGGGCUAUAGCCUUGGGGGGUGAUGCUGGCCAACUUCGUCCGCCGGACUCGGAAUGCCGCGAGACUUUGCGAGGGGCCUCCGUUUGCCAAAAAUAGGCUGCAGGCAAAGCUACACACAAAAAUAACCGCUCGAAGGCCGGGGCACCAAGUUCUCCCAGCGGAAAAAGGGCACAAAAACGGGUGGGCUAUAGCCUUGGGGGGUGGGGCUGGCCAACUUCGUCCGCCGGACUCGGAAUGCCGCGAGACUUUGCGAGGAGCCUACGUGUGCCAAAAAUAGGCCGUAGGGACACCCGCACCUCAAAAUAACCGCCCGAAGGCUGGGGCGCCAAGUUCGUGCAGCGGAAAAAGGCCACAAUAACGGGUGGGCUAUAGCCUUGGGGGGUGGGGCUGGCCGACUUCGUCCGCCGAACUCGGAAUGCCGCGAGACUUUACGAGGGCCCUCCGUAUGCCAAAAAUAGGCCGCGGCCAAAGCCGCGCCCAAAAAUAACCGCCCGAAGGCCGGGGCGCCAAGUUCGUCCAGUGGAAAAAGGCCACAAAUACGGGUGGGCUAUAGCCUUGGGGGGUGGGGCUGGCCAACUUCGUCCGCCGGACUCGGAAUGCCGCGAGACUUUGCGAGGGGCCUCCGUUUGCCAAAAAUAGGCUGCAGGCAAAGCUACACACAAAAAUAACCGCUCGAAGGCCGGGGCACCAAGUUCUCCCAGCGGAAAAAGGGCACAAAAACGGGUGGGCUAUAGCCUUGGGGGGUGGGGCUGGCCAACUUCGUCCGCCGGACUCGGAAUGCCGCGAGACUUUGCGAGGAGCCUACGUGUGCCAAAAAUAGGCCCGUAGGGACACCGCGACACCUUGCAAGUAACCUCCGUGUGCCCAAAAUAGGCCGCGGCGCCAAGUUCGAGCGGCGAAAAAUAACCACCCGAAAACCGGGUGCGCCUAGUUAGCCUUGGGGGGUGGGGCUGGCCAAAACUUCGUCCGCCGGAGCUUCGGGGAAUGGGGCUGGCGAGACUUCGCCCGACGGCACUCGGAAUGCCAAGAGACUUUGCCGCGGGCCCAAGCCGCGCGCCAAAAAUAGGCCGCGGCCAAAGGCCGGCCCGCCAAGAACCGCCCGAAGGCAGGGGCGCCAAGUUCGUCCGGUGGAAAAAGGUGGGGGAUAGGGCGGGCCUACUGCCUCGGCCGGUGGCGGAAUGCCGACAGACUUUGCGAGGGGCCUCCAUGUCGCAAAAAUAGGCCGCGGGCAAAGCAGCGCCCAAAAUUAACCGCCCAAAGGCCGGGGCCCCAAGUUCGUCCAGCGGAAAAACGCCACAAAAACGGGUGGGCUAUUGCCUUGGGGGGUGAUGCUGGCCAACUUCGUCCGGCGGACUCGGAAUGCCGCGAGACUUUAUGAGGGGUCUCCGUAUGCCAAAAAUAGGCCUGGGGCAAAGCCGCGCCCAAAAAAUAAGCCACGGGCAAAGCCGCGCCCAAAAAUAACCGCCCGACGGCCGGGGCGCCAAGUUCGUCCCGCUGAAAAAGGCCACAAAAACGGGUGGGCUAUAGCCUUGGGGGGUGAUGCUGGCCAACUUCGUCCGCGGGACUCGGAAUUCCGUGAGACUUUGUGAGGGACCUCCGUGUGCCAAAAAUAGGCCGCAGGCAAAGCCGCACCCAAAAAAAAUCGCCCGAAGGCCGGGGCGCCAUGUUCGUGCAGCGGAAAAAGGCCACAAAAACGGGUGGGCUAUAGCCUUGGGGGGUGGGGCUGGCCAACUUCGUCCGCCGGACUCGGAAUGCCGCGAGACUUUGCGAGGCACCUCCGUAUGCCAAAAAUAGGCAGCGGGCAAAACCGCGCCCAAAAAUAACCGCCCGAAGGCCGGGGCGCCAAGUUCGUCCAGCGGAAAAAGACCUCAAAAACAGGUGGGCUAUAGCCUUGGGGGGUGAUGCUGGCCAACUUCGUCCGCCCGGACUCGGAAUGCCGCGAGACUUUGCGAGGCGCCUCCGUGUGCCAAAAAUAGGCAGCGGGCAGCCAAAAAUAACAACCCGAAGGCUGGGGCGCCAAGUUCGUCCAGCGGAAAAAGGCCACAAAAACGGGUGGGCUAUAGCCUUGGGGGGUGGGGCUGGCCGACUUCAUCCGCCGGACUCGGAAUGCCGCGAGACUUUGCGAGGGGCCUCCGUAUGCCAAAAAUAGGUCGUCGACAAAGCCGCGCCCAAAAAUAACCACCCGAAGGCCGGGGCGCCAAGUUCGUCCAGCGGAAAAAGGCCACAAAAACGGGUGGGCUAUAGCCUUGGGGGGUGGGGCUGGCCAACUUCGUCCGCCGGAUUCGGAAUGCCGCGAGACUUUGCGAGGGGCCUCCGUGUGCCAAAAAUAGGCCGCGGGCAAAGCCGCGCCCAAAAAUAACCGGCCAAAGGCCGGGGCGCCAAGUUUGUCCAGCAGAAAAAGGCCACAAAAACGGGCGGGCUAUAGCCUUGGGGGGUGGGGCUGGCCAACUUCGUCCAUCGGACUCGGAAUGACGCGAGACUUUACGAGGGGCCGCCGUGUGCCAAAAAUAGACCGCGGGCAAAGCCAUGCCCAAAAAUAACCGCCCGAAGGCCGGGGAGCCAAGUUCGUCCAGCGGAAAAAGGCCACAAAAACGGGGGGGCUAUAGCCUUCGGGGGUGGGGCUGGCUAACUUUGUCCGCCGGACUGGGAAUGCCAAAAAUAGGCCACGGGGAAGCCGCGCCCAAAAAUAACCGCCCGAAGGCCGGGUCGCCAAGUUCGUCCAGCGGAAAAAGGCCACAAAAACGGGCGGGCUAUAGCCUUGGGGGAUGGGGCUGGCCCACUUCGUCCGCCGGACUCGGAAUGCCGCGAGACUUUGCGAGGGGCCUCCGUGUGCCAAAAAUAGGCCGCGGGCAAAGCCGCGCCCAAAAAUAACCGCCCGAAGGCCGGGGCGAGAAGUUCGUCCAGCGGAAAAAGGCCACAAAAACGGGGGGGCUAUAGCCUUGGGGGGUGGGGCUGGCCAACUUCGUCCGCCGGAUACGGAAUGCCAAACAUAGGCCAUGGGCGAAGCCGUACCCAAAAAUAACCGACCGAAGGCCGGGGCGCCAAGUUCAUCCAGCGGAAAAAGGCCACAAAAACGGGUGGGCUAUAGCCUUGGGGGGUGGGGCUGGCCAACUUCGUCCGCCGGAUUCGGAAUGCCGCGAGACUUUGCGAGGGGCCUCCGUCUGCCAAAAAUAGGCCGUGGCCGAAGCCGCGCCCAAAAAUAACCGCCCGAAGGCCGGGGCGCCAAGUUCGUCCUGCGGAAGAAGGCCACAAAAACGGGUGGGCUAUAGCCUUGGGGGGUGGGGCUGGCCAAUUUCGUCCGCCGGACUCGGAAUGCCGCGAGACUUUGCGAGGGGCCUCCGCGUGCCAAAAAUAGGCCGCGGGCAAAGCCGCGUCCAAAUAUAACCCCCCGAAGGCCGGGGCGCCAAGUUCGUCCAGUGGAAAAAGGCCACAAAAACGGGUGGGCUAUAGCCUUGGGGGGUGGGGCUGGCCGACUUCGUCCGCCGGACUCGGAAUGCCGCGAGACUUUGCGAGGGGCCUCCGUGUCCCAAAAAAAGGCCGCGGGCAAAGCCAUACCCAAAAAUAAUAGCCCGAAGGCCGGGGCGCCAAGUUCGUCCAGCGGAAAAAGGCCACAAAAACGGGCGGGCUAUAGCCUUGGGGGGUGGGGCUGGCCAACUUCGUCCGCCGGACUCGGAAUGCCGCGAGACAUUCCGAGGAGCCUCCGUGUGCCAAAAAUAGGCUGCGGGCAAAGCCGUGCCCAAAAAUAACCGCCCGAAGGCCGGGGCGCCAAGUUCGUCCAGCGGAAAAAGGCCACAAAAACGGGUGGGCUAUAGCCUCGGGGGGUGGGGCUGGCCAACUUCGUCCGCCGGACUCAUAAUUCCGCGAGACAUUGCAGGGGCCUCCGUGUGCCAAACAUAGGCCGCGGGCAAAGCCGCGCCAAAAAUAACCGCCCGAAGGCCGGGGCGCGAAGUUCGUCCAGCGGAAAAAGGCCACAAAAACGGGGGGGCUAUAGCCUUGGGGGGUGGGGCUGGCCAACUUCGUCCGCCGGACUCGGAAUGCCAAAAAUAGGCCAUGGGCGAAGCCGCGCCCAAAAAUAACCGCACGAAGGCCGGGGCGCCAAGUUCGUCCAGCGGAAAAAGGCCACAAAAACGGGCGGGCUAUAGCCUUGGGGGGUGGGGCUGGCCAAAUUCGUCCGCCGGACUCGGAAUGCCGCGAGACUUUGCGAGGGGCCUCCGUGUGCCAAAAAUAGGCUACGGGCAAAGCCGCGACCAAAAAUAACCGCCCGAAGGCCGGGGCGCCAAGUUCGUCCAACGGAAAAAGGCCACAAAAACGGGUGGGCUAUAGCNNNNNNNNNNNNNNNNNNNNNNNNNNNNNNNNNNNNNNNNNNNNNNNNNNNNNNNNNNNNNNNNNNNNNNNNNNNNNNNNNNNNNNNNNNNNNNNNNNNNNNNNNNNNNNNNNNNNNNNNNNNNNNNNNNNNNNNNNNNNNNNNNNNNNNNNNNNNNNNNNNNNNNNNNNNNNNNNNNNNNNNNNNNNNNNNNNNNNNNNNNNNNNNNNNNNNNNNNNNNNNNNNNNNNNNNNNNNNNNNNNNNNNNNNNNNNNNNNNNNNNNNNNNNNNNNNNNNNNNNNNNNNNNNNNNNNNNNNNNNNNNNNNNNNNNNNNNNNNNNNNNNNNNNNNNNNNNNNNNNNNNNNNNNNNNNNNNNNNNNNNNNNNNNNNACAAAAACGGGGGGGCUAUAGCCUUGGGGGGUGGGGCUGGCCCAACUUCGUCCGCAGACUCGGAAUGCCAAAAAUAGGCCGUGGCGAAGCCUCGCCCAAAAAUAACUGCCCGAAGGCCGGGGCGCCAAGUUCGUCCAGCGGAAAAAGGCCACAAAAACGGGCGGGCUAUAGCUUUGGGGGUGGGGCUGGCCAACUUCGUCCGCCGGACUCGGAAUGCCGCGAGACAUUGCAGGGGCCUCCGUGUGCCAAACAUAGGCCGCGGGCAAAGCCGCGCCCAAAAAUAACCGCCCGAAGGCCGGGGCGCCAAGUUCGUCCAGCGGAAAAAGGCCACAAAAACGGGGGGGCUAUAGCCUUGGGGGGUGGGGCUGGCCAACUUCGUCCGCCGGACUCGGAAUGCCAAAAAUAGGCCGUGGGCGAAGCCUCGCCCAAAAAUAACUGCCCGAAGGCCGGGGCGCCAAGUUCGUCCAGCGGAAAAAGGCCACAAAAACGGGCGGGCUAUAGCCUUGGGGGUGGGGCUGGCCAACUUCGUCCGCCGGACUCGGAAUGCCGCGAGACUUUGCGAGGGGCCUCCGUGUGCCAAACAUAGGCCGCGGGCAAAGCCGCGCCCAAAAAUAACCGCCCGAAGGCCGGGGCGCCAAGUUCGUCCAGCGGAAAAAGGCCACAAAAACGGGCGGGCUAUAGCCUUGGGGGGUGGGGCUGGCCAAAUUCGUCCGCCGGACUCGGAAUGCCGCGAGACUUUGCGAGGGGCCUCCGUGUGCCAAAAAUAGGCUACGGGCAAAGCCGCGACCAAAAAUAACCGCCCGAAGGCCGGGGCGCCAAGUUCGUCCAACGGAAAAAGGCCACAAAAACGGGGGGGCUAUAGCCUUGGGGGGUGGGGCUGGCCAACUUCGUCCGCCGGACUCGGAACGCCGCGAGACUUUGCGAGGGGCCUCCGUGUGCCAAAAAUAGGCCGCGGUCAAAGCCGCGCCCAAAAAUAACUGCCCGAAGGCCGGGGCGCGAAGUUCGUCCAGCGGAAAAAGGCCACAAAAACGGGGGGGCUAUAGCCUUGGGGGGUGGGGCUGGCCCACUUCGUCCGCCGGACUCGGAAUGCCGCAAAACAUAGGGAGGGGCCUCCGUGGGUGAAAAAUAGGCCGCACCCAAAACCGCGCCUAAAAAUAACCGCCCGAAGGCCGGGGCGCCAUGUUCGUCCAGCGGAAAAAGGCCACAAAAACGGGGGGGCUAUAGCCUUGGGGGGUGGGGCUGGCCCACUUCGUCCGCCGGACUCGGAAUGCCAAAAAUGGGCCACGGGCGAAGACUUUGCCGAAAAAUAGGGGCCCUCCGGUUGUGGCCCAAAAAUAGGCCAGCGGAAAAAGGCCACAAAAACGGGCGGGCUAUAGCCUUGGGGGUGGGGCUGGCCAACUUUGUCCGCCGGGCUCGGAAUGCCGCGAGACUUUUCUAGGGGCCUCCGUGUACCAGAAAUAGGCCGUGGGCAAAGCCGCACCAAAAAAUAACAGCCCGAAGGCCGGGGCGCCAAGUUCGUCCAGCGGAAAAAGGCCACAAAAACGGGUGGUCUAUAGCCUUGGGGGGUGGGGCUGGCCAACUUCGUCCGCCGGACUCGAAAUGCCGCGAGACUUGUGAGGGGCCUCCGUGUGCCAAAAAUAGGCUGCGGGCAAAGCCGCGCCCAAAAAUAACCGCCCGAAGGCCGGUGCGCCAUGUUCGUCCAGCGGAAAACGGCCACAAAAACGGGUGGGCUAUAGCCUUGGGGGCUGGGGCUGGCCAACGUCGUCCGCCGGACUCGGAAUGCCGCGAGACUUUGCGAGCGGCCUCCGUGUGCCCAAAAUAGGCAGUGGGCAAAGCCGCGCCCAAAAUUAACCGCCCGAAGGCCGGGGCGACAAGUUCGUCCAGCGGAAAAAGGCCACAAAAACGGGUGCGCUAUAGCCUUGGGGGGUGUGGCUGGCCAACUUCGUCCGCCGGACUCGGAAUUCCGCGAGACUUUGCGAGGGGCCCCCGUGUGCCAAAAAUAGGCCGCAGACAAAGCCGCGCCCAAAAAUAACCACCCGAAGGCGGGGGCGCCAAGUUCGUCCAGCGGAAAAAGGCCACAAAAACGGGUGGGCUAUAGCCUUGGGGGGUGGGGCUGGCCAACUUCGUCCGCCGGACUCGGAAUGCCGCGAGACUUUGGGAGGGGACUCCGUGUGGCAAAAAUAGGCUGCGGGCAAAGCCGCAUCCAAAAAUAACAGCCCGAAGGCCGGGGCGCCAAGUUCGUCCAGCGGAAAAAGGCCACAAAAACGGGUGGGCUAUAGCCUUGGGGGGUGGGGUUGGCCAGCUUCGUCCGCCGGACUCGGAAUGCCGCGAGACUUUGUGAGGGGCCUCCGUCUACCAAAAAUAGGCCGCGGGCAAAGCCGCGCAGAAAAAUAACUGCCCGAAGGCCGGUGCGCCAUGUUCGUCCAGCGGAAAAAGGCCACAAAAACCAGGGGGCUAUAGCCUUGGGGGGUGGGGCUGGCCAACUUCGUCCGCCGGACUCGGAAUGCCAAAAAUAGGCCACGGGCGAAGCUGCGCCCAAAAAUAACCACCCGAAGGCUGGGGAGCUAAGGUCGUCCAGCGAAAAAGGGCACAAAAACGGGCGGGCUAUAGCCUUGGGGGUGGGGCUGGCCAACUUCUUCCGCCGGGCUCGGAAUGCCGCGAGACUUUUCUAGGGGCCUCCGUGUGCCAAAUAUAGGCCGCGGGCAAAGCCGCGCCCAAAAAUAACGGCCCGACGGCCGGGGCGGCAAGUUCGUCCCUUGGAAAAAGGCCACAAAAACGGGUGGGCUAUAGCCUUCGGGGUGAUGCUGGCCAACUUCGUCCGCCGGACUCGGAGUGCCGCGAGACUUUGCGAGGGGCCUCCGUGUGCCAAGAAUAGGCCGCGAGCAAAGCCGUGCCCAAAAUUAACCGCCCGAAGGCCGGGGCGACAAGUUCGUCCAGCGGAAAAAGGCCACAAAAACGGGUGGGCUAUAGCCUUGGGGGGUGGGGCUUACCAACUUCGUCCGCCGGACUCGGAAUGCCGCGAGACUUUCGAGGGGCCUCCGUGUGCCAAAAAUAGGCCGCGGGCAAAGCCGCGCCCAAAAAUAACAGCCCGAAGGCCGGGGCGCCAAGUUCGUCCAGCGGAAAAAGGCCACAAAAACGGGUGGUCUAUAGCCUUGGGGGGUGGGGCUGGCCAACUUCGUCCGCUGGACUCGGAAUGCCGUGACUUGGCGAGGGGCCCCCGUGUGGCAAAAAUAGGCCGCGGACAAAGCAGCGCCCAAAAAUAACCGCCCGAAGGCCGGGGCGCCAAGUUCGUCCAGCGGAAAAAGGCCACAAAAACGAGGGGGCUAUAGCCUUGGGGGGUGGGGCUUGCCAACUUCAUCCGCCGGACUCGGAAUGCCAAAAAUAGGCCGCGGGCAAAGCUACGCCCAAAAAUAACCGCCCGAAGGCCCGGGCGCCAAGUUCGUCCAGCGGAAAAAGGCCACAAAAACAGGUGGGCUAUAGCCUUGGGGGGUGGGGUUGGCCAGCUUCGUCCGCCGGACUCGGAAUGCCGCGAGACUUUGUGAGGGGCCUCCGUCUACCAAAAAUAGGCCGCGGGCAAAGCCGCGCAGAAAAAUAACUGCCCAAAGGCCGGUGCGCCAUGUUCGUCCAGCGGAAAAAGGCCACAAAAACGGGUGGGCUAUAGCCUUGGGGGGUGGGGCUGGCCAAUUUCGUCCGCCGGACUCGGAAUGCAGCAAGACUUUGCGAGGGGCCUCCGUGUGCCAAAAAUAGGCCGCGGACAAAGCCGCGCCCAAAAAUAACUGCCCGAAGGCCGGGCCGCCAAGUUCGUCCAGCGGAAAAAGGCCACAAAAACGAGGGGGCUAUAGCCUUGGGGGGUGGGGCUGGCCAACUUCGUCCGCCGGACUCGGAAUGCCAAAAAUAGGCCACGGGCGAAGCUGCGCCCAAAAAUAACCACCCGAAGGCUGGGGAGCUAAGGUCGUCCAGCGAAAAAGGGCACAAAAACGGGCGGGCUAUAGCCUUGGGGGUGGGGCUGGCCAACUUCGUCCGCCGGGCUCGGAAUGCCGCGAGACUUUUCUAGGGGCCUCCGUGUGCCAAAUAUAGGCCGCGGGCAAAGCCGCGCCCAAAAAUAACGGCCCGACGGCCGGGGCGGCAAGUUCGUCCCUUGGAAAAAGGCCACAAAAACGGGUGGGCUAUAGCCUUCGGGGUGAUGCUGGCCAAAUUCGUCCGCCGGACUCGGAGUGCCGCGAGACUUUACGAGGGGCCUCCGUGUGCCAAGAAUAGGCCGCGAGCAAAGCCGCGCCCAAAAUUAACCGCCCGAAGGCCGGGGCGACAAGUUCGUCCAGCGGAAAAAGGCCACAAAAACGGGUGGGCUAUAGCCUUGGGGGGUGGGGCUUGCCAACUUCGUCCGCCGGACUCGGAAUGCCGCGAGACUUUCGAGGGGCCUCCGUGUGCCAAAAAUAGGCCGCGGGCAAAGCCGCGCCCAAAAAUAACAGCCCGAAGGCCGGGGCGCCAAGUUCGUCCAGCGGAAAAAGGCCACAAAAACGGGUGGUCUAUAGCCUUGGGGGGUGGGGCUGGCCAACUUCGUCCGCUGGACUCGGAAUGCCGUGACUUGGCGAGGGGCCCCCCUGUGGCAAAAAUAUGCCGCGGACAAAGCCGCGNNNNNNNNNNNNNNNNNNNNNNNNNNNNNNNNNNNNNNNNNNNNNNNNNNNNNNNNNNNNNNNNNNNNNNNNNNNNNNNNNNNNNNNNNNNNNNNNNNNNNNNNNNNNNNNNNNNNCGGAAUGCCAAAAAUAGGCCGCGGGCAAAGCUACGCCCAAAAAUAACCGCCCGAAGGCCGGGGCGCCAAGUUCGUCCAGCGGAAAAAGGCAACAAAAACGGGCGGGCUAUAGCCUUGGGGGGUGGGGCUGGCCAACUUCGUCCGCCGGACUCGGAAUGCCGCGAGACUUUGCGAGGGGCCUCCGUGUGCCAAAAAUAGGCUGCGGGUAAUGCCAAGCCCAAAAAUAACCACCCGACAGCCAGGGUGCCAAGUUCGUCCAGCGGAAAAAGGCCACAAAAACGGGUGGGCUAUAGACUUGGGGGUGAUGCUGGCCAACUUCGUCCGCCGGACUCGGAGUGCCGCGAGACUUUGCGAGGGGCCUCCGUGUGCCAAGAAUAGGCCGCGAGCAAAGCCGCACCAAAAAUUAACCGCCCGAAGGCCGGGGCGCCAAGUUCGUCCAACGGAAAAAUGCCACAAAAACGGGUGGGCUAUAGCCUUGGAGGGUGGGGCUUGCCAACUUCGUCCGCCGGACUCGGAAUGCCGCGAGACUUUUGAGGGGCCUCCGUGUGCCAAAAAUAGGCCGCGGGCAAAGCCGCACCCAAAAAUAACCGCCCGACGGCCGGGGCGCCAUGUUCGUCCAGCGGAAAAUGUCCACAAAAACGAGUGGGCUAUAGCCUUGGGGGGUGAUGCUGGCAAACUUCGUCCGCCGGACUCGGAAUGCCGCGAGACUAUGCGAGGGGCCUCUGUGUGCCAAAUAUAGGCCGCAGGCAAAGCCGCGCCCAAAAAUAACGGCCCGACGGCCGGGGCGGCAAGUUCGUCCAUUGGAAAAAAGCCACAAAAACGGGUGGGCUAUAGCCUUCGGGGUGAUGCUGGCCAACUUCGUCCGCCGGACUCGGAAUGCCGCGAGACUUUGCCAGGGGCCUCCGUAUGCCAAAAAUAGGCCGCGGACAAAGCCGCGCCCAAAAUUAACCGCACGAAGGCCGGGGCGCCAAGUUCGUCCAGUGGAAAAAGACCACAAAAACGGGUGGGCUAUAGCCUUGGGGGGUGAUGCUGGCCAAGUUCGUCCGCCGGACUCGGAAUGCCGCGAGACUUUGCGAGGGGCCUCCGUGUGCUAAAAAUAGGCCGUGGGAUGUUUAAAAGGUUUGUGGUUCAAAAUUUUAUGUUAUCUAGUGAUAAAAUUUUGUAGUGCAUUUUAUAGAUAGGUAGCAGCAGCAAGUUCCGGGGCGCCAAUUUCGUCUAGCGGAAAAAGGGCACAAAAACGGGUGGGCUAUAGCCUUGGGGGGUGAUGCUGGACAACUUCGUCCGCCGGACUCGGAAUGCCACGAGACUUUGCGAGGGGCCUCCGUGUGCCAAAAAUAGGCCGCGGGCAAAGCCGCGCCCAAAAUUAACCGCCCGAAGUCCGGGGCGCCAAGUUCCUCCAGCGGAAAAAGGCCACAAAAACGGGUGGGCUAUAGCCUUGGGGGGUGGGGCGGGCCAACUUCGUCCGCCGGACUCGGAAUGCCGCGAGACUUUGCGAGGGGCCUCCGUGUGCCAAAAAUAGGCCGCGGGCAAAGCCGCGACCAAAAAUAACCGCCCGAAGGCCGGGGCGCCAAGUUCGUCCAGCAGAAAAAGGCCACAAACACGGGUGGGCUAUAGCCUUGGGGGGUGGGGCUGGCCUACUUCGUCCGCCGGACUCGGAAUGCCGCGAGACAUUGCGAGGGGCCUCCGUGUGCCAAUAAUAGGCCGCGGGCAAAGCCGCGCACAAAAAUAACCACCCGAAGGCCCGGGCGCCAAGUUCGUCCAGCGGAAAAAUGCCACAAAAACGGGUGGGCUAUAGCCUUGGGGGGGGGGGCUGGCCAACUUCGUCCGCCGGACUCGAAAUGCCCCGAGACUUUGCCAGGGGCCUCCGUGUGCCAAAAAUAGGCCGCGGGCAAUGCCGCGCUCAAAAAUAACCAACCGAAGGCCGGGGCGCCAAGUUCGUCCAGCGGAAAAAGGCCACAAAAACGGGUGGGCUAUAGCCUUGGGGGGGGGGGCUGGCCAACUUUGUCCCGCCGGACUCGGAUUGCCGCGAGACUUUGCGAGGGGCCUCCGUGUGNNNNNNNNNNNNNNNNNNNNNNNNNNNNNNNNNNNNNNNNNNNNNNNNNNNNNNNNNNNNNNNNNNNNNNNNNNNNNNNNNNNNNNNNNNNNNNNNNNNNNNNNNNNNNNNNNNNNNNNNNNNNNNNNNNNNNNNNNNNNNNNNNNNNNNNNNNNNNNNNNNNNNNNNNNNNNNNNNNNNNNNNNNNNNNNNNNNNNNNNNNNNNNNNNNNNNNNNNNNNNNNNNNNNNNNNNNNNNNNNNNNNNNNNNNNNNNNNNNNNNNNNNNNNNNNNNNNNNNNNNNNNNNNNNNNNNNNNNNNNNNNNNNNNNNNNNNNNNNNNNNNNNNNNNNNNNNNNNNNNNNNNNNNNNNNNNNNNNNNUGCCAAAAAUAGGCCGCGGGUAUAGCCGCGCCCAAAAUUAACCGCCCGAAGGCCGGGGCGACAAGUUCGUCCAGCGGAAAAAGGCCACAAAAACGGGUGGGCUAUAGCCUUGGGGGGGGGGGGCUGGCCAACUUCGUCCGCCGGACUCGGAAUGUCGCGAGACUUUGCGAGGGUCCUCCGUGUGCCAAAAAUAGGUCGCGGGCAAAGCCGCGCCCACAAAUAACUGCCCGAAGGCCGGGGUGCCAAGUUCGUCCAGCGGAAAAAGGCCACAAAAACGGGUGGGCUAUAGCCUUGGGGGUGGGGCUGGCCAACUUUGUCCGUCGGACUCGGAUUGCCGCGAGACUUUGCGAGGGGCCUCCGUGUGCCAAAAAUAGGCCGCGGGCAAAUCCGCGCCCAAAAAUAACCGCCCGAAGGCCGGGGCGCCAAGUUCGCUCAGCGGAAAAAGGCCACAAAAACGGGUGGGCUAUAGCCUUGUGGGGUGGGGCUGGCCCACUUCCUCCCCCGGACUCAGAAUGCCGGAAGACUUUGCGAGGGGCCUCUGUGUGCCAAAAAUAGGCCGCGGGCAAUGCCGCGCUCAAAAAUAACCAACCGAAGGCCGGGGCGCCAAGUUCGUCCAGCGGAAAAAGGCCACAAAAACGGGUGGGCUAUAGCCUUGGGGGUGGGGCUGGCCAACUUCGUCCGCCGGACUCGGAAUGCCGCGAGACUUUGCGUUGGGCCUCCGUGUGCCAAAAAUAGGCCGCGGGUAUAGCCGCGCCCAAAAUUAACCGCCCGAAGGCCGGGGCGACAAGUUCGUCCAGCGGAAAAAGGCCACAAAAACGGGUGGGCUAUAGCCUUGGGGGGUGGGGCUUGCCAACUUCGUCUGCCGGACUCGGAAUGCCGCGAGACUUUCGAGGGGCCUCCGUGUGCCAAAAAUAGGCCGCGGGAAAAGCCGCGCCCAAAAAUAACAGCCCGAAGGCCGGGGCGCCAAGUUCGUCCAGCGGAAAAAGGCCACAAAAACGGGUGGUCUAUAGCCUUGGGGGGUGGGGCUGGCCAGCUUCGUCCGCUGGACUCGGAAUGCCGUGACUUGGCGAGGGGCCCCCGUGUGCCAAAAAUAGGCCGCGGACAAAGCCGCGCCCAAAAAUAACCGCCCGAAGGCCGGGGCGCCAAGUUCGUCCAGCGGAAAAAGGCCACAAAAACGAGGGGGCUAUAGCCUUGGGGGGUGGGGCUUGCCAACUUCAUCCGCCGGACUCGGAAUGCCAAAAAUAGGCUGCGGGCAAAGCUACGCCCAAAAAUAACCGCCCGAAGGCCGGGGCGCCAAGUUCGUCCAGCGGAAAAAGGCCACAAAAACGGGCGGGCUAUAGCCUUGGGGGGUGGGGCUGGCCGACUUCGUCCGCCGGACUCGGAAUGCCGCGAGACUUUGCGAGGGGCCUCCGUGUGCCAAAAAGAGGCUGCGGGUAAUGCCAAGCCCAAAAAUAACCACCCAACAGCCAGGGUGCCAAGUUCGCUCAGCGGAAAAAGGCCACAAAAACGGGUGGGCUAUAGCCUUGUGGGGUGGGGCUGGCCCACUCCCUCCCCCGGACUCAGAAUGCCGGAAGACUUUGCGAAGGGCCUCUGUGUGCCAAAAAUAGGCCGCGGGCACUGCCGCGCUCCAAAAUAACCAACCGAAGGCCGGGGCGCCAAGUUCGUCCAGUGGAAAAAGGCCACAAAAACGGGUGGGCUAUAGCCUUGGGGGUGGGGCUGGCCAACUUCGUCCGCCGGACUCGGAAUGCCGCGAGACUUUGCGUUGGGCCUCCGUGUGCCAAAAAUAGGCCGCGGGUAUAGCCGCGCCCAAAAUUAACCGCCCGAAGGCCGGGCCGCCAAGUUCGUCCAGCGGAAAAAGGCCACAAAAACGGGUGGGCUAUAGCCUUGGGGGGUGGGGCUGGCCAACUUCGUCCGCUGGACUCGGAAUGCCGCGAGACUUUGCGAGGGGCCUCGAUGUGCCAAAAAUAGGCCACGGGCAAAGCCGCGCCCAAAAAUAACCGCCCCAAGGCCGGGGCGCCAAGUUCGUCCAGCGGAAAAAGGCCACAAAAACGGGUGGGCUAUAGCCUUGGGGGGUGGGGCUGGCCAACUUCGUCCGCCGGACUGGGAAUGCCGCGAGACUUUGAGAGGGGCCUCCAUGUGCCAAAAAUAGGCCGCGGGCAUUGCCACGCCCAAAAUUGACCGCCCGAAGGCUGGGGCGGCAAGUUCAUCCAGCGGAAAAAGGCCACAAAAACGGGUGGGCUAUAGCCUUGGGGGGUGAUGCUGGCCAACUUCGUCCGCCGGACUCGGAAUGCUGCGAGACUUUGCGAGGGGCCUCCGUGUGCCAAAAAUAGGCUGCGGGUAAUGCCAAGGCUAAAAAUAACCACCCGACAGCCAGGGUGCCAAGUUCGUCUAGCGGAAAAAGGCCACAAAAACGGGUGGGCUAUAGCCUUGGGGGUGAUGCUGGCCAACUUCGUCCGCCGGUCUCGGAGGGCCGCGAGACUUUGCGAGGGGCCUCCGUGUGCCAAAAAUAGGCUGUGGGCAAAGCCGUAACCAAAAAUAACCGCCCGACGGCCGGGGCGCCAAGUUCGUCCCGCGGAAAAAGGCCACAAAAACGGGUGGGCUAUAGCCUUGGGGGGUGAUGCUGGCCAAGUUCGUCCGCCGGACUCGGAAUGCCGCGAGAAUUUGCGAGGGGCCUCCGUGUGCCAAAUAUAGGCCGCGGACAAAGCCGCGCCCAAAAAUAACCGCCCGACGGCCGGGGCGCCAAGUUAGUCCCGCGGAAAAAGGCCACAAAAACGGGUGGGCUAUAGCCUUGGGGGGUGGGGCUGGCCCACUUCGUCCGCCGGACUCGGAAUGCCGCGAGACUUUGCGAGGGAUCUCCGUGUGCCAAAAAUAGGCCGCGGGCAAUGCCGCGCUCAAAAAUAGCCGCCCGAAGGCCGGGGCGCCAAGUUCGCCCAGCGGAAAAAGGCCACAAAAACAUGUGGGCUAUAGCCUUGGGGGUGGGGCUGGCCAACUUCGUCCGCCGGACUUGGAAUGCCGCGAGACUUUGCGAGGGGCCUCCGUGUGCCAAAAAUAGGCCGUGGGAUGUUUAAAAGGUUCGUGGUUCAAAAUUUUAUGUUAUCUAGUGAUAAAAUUUUGUACUGCAUUUUAUAGAUAGGUAGCAGCAGCAAGUUCCGGGGCGCCAUGUUCGUCCAGCGGAAAAAGGCCACAAAAACGGGUGGGCUAUAGCCUUGGGGGGUGAUGCUGGCCAACUUCGUCCGCCGGACUCGGAAUGCCGCGAGACUUUGCGAGGGGCCUCCGUGUGGCAAAAAUAGGCCGCGGGCAAAGCCGCGCCCAUAAUUAACCGCCCGAAGGCCGGGGCGCCAAGUUCGUCCAUUGGAAAAAGGCCAAAAAAACGGGUGUGCUAUAGCCUUGGGGGGUGAUGCUUGCAAACUUCAUCCGCCGGACUUGGAAUGCCGCGAGACUUUGCGAGGGGCCUCCGUGUGCCAAAAAUAGGCCGCGGGCAAAUCCGCGCCCAAAAAUAACCGCCCGACGGCCGGGGCGCCAAGUUCGUCCAGCGGAAAAAGGCCACAAAAACGGGUGGGCUAUUGCCUUGGGGGGUGAUGCUGGCCAACUUCGUCCGCCGGACUUGGAAUGCCGCGAGACUUUGCGAGGGGCCUCCGUGUGCCAAAAAUAGGCCGUGGGAUGUUUAAAAGGUUCGUGGUUCAAAAUUUUAUGUUAUCUAGUGAUAAAAUUUUGUACUGCAUUUUAUAGAUAGGUAGCAGCAGCAAGUUCCGGGGCGCCAAGUUCGUCCAGCGGAAAAAGGCCACAAAAACGGGUGGGCUAUAGCCUUGCUGGGUGAUGCGGGCCAACUUCGUCCGCCGGACUCGGAAUGCCGCGAGACUUUGCGAGGGCCCUCCGUGUGCCGAAAAUAGGCCGCAGGCAAAGCUGCGCCCAAAAAUAACCGCCCGACAGCUGGGGCGCCAAGUUCGUCCAGCGGAAAAAGGCCACAGAAACGGGUGGGCUAUAGCCUUGGGGGGUGGGGCUGGCCAACUACGUCCGCCGGACUCGGAAUGCCGCGAGACUUUGUGAGGGGCCUUCGUGUGCCAAAAAUAGGCCGCGGGCAAAGCCAAGACCAAAAUUAACUGCCCGAAGGCCGGGGCGCCAAGUUCGUCCAGCGGAAAAAGGCCACAAAAACGGGUGGGCUAUAGCCUUGGGGGGUGGGUCCGGCCCACUUCGUCCGCCGGAGUCGGAAUGCGGCGAGACUUUGCGAGGGGCCUCCGUGUGCCAAAAAUAGGCCGCGGGCAAAAAUAACCGCCCGAAGUCCGGGGCGCCAAGUUCGUCCAGCGGAAAAAGGCCACAAAAACGAGUGGGCUAUAGCCUUGGGGGGUGGGGCUGGCCAACUUCGUCUGCCGGACUCGGAAUGCCGCGAGACUUUACGAGGGGUCUCCGUGUGCCAAAAAUAGGCCGCGGACAAAGCCGUGCCCAAAAAUAACCGCCCGAAGGCCGGGGGGCAAAGUUCGUCCAGCGGAAAAAGGCCACAAAAACGGGUGGGCUAUAGCCUUGGGGGGUGGGGCUGGCCAACUUCGUCCGCCGGACUCGGAAUGCCGCGAGACUUUGCGAGGGGCCUCCGUGUGCCAAAAAUAGGUCGCCGGCAAAGCCGCGCCCAAAAAUAACCGCCCGAAGGCCGGGGCGCCAAGUUCGUCCAGCGGAAAAAGGCCACAAAAACGGGUGGGCUAUAGUCUUGGGGGGUGGGGCUGGCCAACUUCGUCCGCCGGACUCGGAAUGCCGCGAGACUUUGCGAGGAGCCUCCGUGUGCCAAAAAUAGGCCGUAGGCAAACCCGCACCCAAAAAUAACUGCCCAAAGGCCGGGGCGCCAAGUUCGUGCAGCGGAAAAAGGCCACAAAAACGGGUGGGCUAUAGCCUUGGGGGGUGGGGCUGGCCAACUUCGUCCGCCGGACUCGGAAUGCCGCGAGACUUUGCGAGGAGCCUCCGUGUGCCAAAAAUUAGGCCGU